GACGGAGGAUGCAAGUGUUAUCCGGAAUCACUGGGCGUAAAGCGUCUGUAGGUGGUUUAAAAAGUCCACUGUUAAAAAUUGAAGCUUAACUUCAAAGAUGCAAUGGAAACUUUUAAACUUGAGUAUGGUAGGGGUAGAGGGAAUUUCCAGUGGAGCGGUGAAAUGCGUAGAUAUUGGAAAGACCACCAAUGGCGAAGGCACUCUACUGGGCCAUUACUGACACUGAGAGACGAAAGCUAGGGGAGCAAAUGGG
rnacentral:rRNA from 1 species